rnacentral:rRNA from 1 species
GACAGAGGGUGCAAACGUUGUUCGGAAUUACUGGGCGUAAAGCGCACGUAGGCGGCUUGGUAUGUCGGGUGUGAAAUCCCCGGGCUCAACCUGGGAACUGCAUCCGAAACUGCCUUGCUCGAGUAUGGGAGAGGGAAGUGGAAUUUCCGGUGUAGCGGUGAAAUGCGUAGAUAUCGGAAGGAACAUCAGUGGCGAAGGCGACUUCCUGGACCAAUACGUGACGCUCAGGUGCGAAAGCGUGGGGAGCAAACAGG